AUUAAUAGGAAAACUUUAUAAAUAUCAUUCGUAUAGUUUCGUAUUUUUUUAUUUUAAUACUCUAUAAUUUAACCUAUAUUAUUUUCAUAUUUUAUAAUUUUUUUCUUUUUAUUAUCCUAUCUAUCAUUUUUUUUAUUAAAUCAGUGACAAAAUAAAAAUUAAUAAAUACUAAAGUGAAUAUUCGAUAAACUAUAGAUAAGGUAUUUGAAGUUUUUGUAUAUGAUUUAAUAAAAAAUUUUCGAAGGGACUGACGAAAAGGAAAAAAUGAAACUACGUGAUACUAAAUUGAUAUACUGUAAACCAUAGGUAUUACAGUAAAAAAGUACAAAAUCAUAAAAAUAGUAUUUGAAGUUUACCCCAAUUAAUAUAAUAUAUAAUAAUAAUAAAGAUAAUA
rnacentral:lncRNA from 1 species